rnacentral:lncRNA from 1 species
UUAUAUUAUAAGCAAGGCUGUGAGGAGUGUUACCACUGAAAAUAAGCAUUUUUGCACGUCCUUGGGAUAAACUUUUAGAAGCAGAAUUUUUGGGUCAAAGAGUUCUUACGUGUCAAGGCUUUUGAUAUGUGCCCAUAAGCUUAGACAUGUUGUACGGCUGCUUCAAAGCUUAGUUUGUUUUCGUUUCCUCAGCCCCCUUCACUGUUCCCUCUACAUUUUCGAAUUUCAAAUCCUAGCAAAAGUAGGUAAUAUUCCCCUAAUGUAAAGAACUUUGUAUGUGAUAACAUGUUACGUUAGUGGUGAAUUUUAUUUCUUCUUUCUGAAAUCAGAUUCUUCUUGUGUGUGAGAAGGCUAAUGUGCUUGUAACUGCAUCAUUGCAUAAGCUGACAAAGUCCUAUUUGUUGCUUACAAAGUUGGCAAAAAGCAAAAUAAAAAAGACAUUAAGCACAACAAACCAGAAGCCUUGGAAAUGCAAGAGAGUCAGUUUAAGUUUCAACAUGUCAUUUCAUUUGCUUUUUUUUUAAGGUUUGAAAAAAGCCUUCAGCAUAUUGAACCGUAUUACAAAAGAAGCAGUCAGUUUGGGGAGAAAACCAUUUUAUCCUUUUCAGCUUGCCCUAGGAUAGAUUUUUCUAUUUCAGCAAAAAUAAAUAAAAUUUGUUAUUUUAGAUGAAAAUUUUCUAAUUUGCUGUCACCUUCCACUGGUUUUCUUUCAGGUGACAUUGUAGGUAAUGCCAAUGCUAAUGAUAUUGGCACACACUUACAUAGUCUCUAUCCUGUGCCAGGUACUGGAUUACCUCAUUUUAAAGCUAGAUGGGGAUUGUUUUCCAUGAGAGGAAGUGGAGAUUUUAACACCAAGGCAGUAGAGGCUUAGUGGCUCUAACCCCUUUCAGAGUCAUAGACAUAAGUAGAAGGAUGUGUUAAGGUGAGCACUUCUCAAACUCUAAGGUGCACUCGACUUACCUGGAUGUCUUGUUAAAAUGCAAAUUCUGAUUCAGCAAGUCCUGAGGGACCUGAGACUCUGCAUUUCUAAUAAGCUCCCAGGGGAUGCUGAUGCUGCUGGUCCAUUGACCACACCCUAAAUAACAAGGUGUUCAAAGACAUUGACACAAAGUCUACUGUUUCCCUAUGGGGAGAGUGUGGUCCAGAGGGUCCAGCAACCCAGCUCUGCCAGCCACACAAGCCCCCUGGCAACUGAGGUUGGGAGCUGAUUUCCAGAUGUGUCCUUUGUGCACUUUGUUUGCCAUGCCACUCAUUCUGAGAGAGCCACCCUUGUGAUGAGAUUGUACACGACUUAGAUUUUCUUCUUUUUAUUUUUGUGUCUUCUAAGUUUUAUUUUAUUUUAUUUUAUUUUGCAGGAAAGGAUGCACCCUGAGCUUACAUCUGUUGCCAAUCUUCCUCUUCCUUUUUUCCUCCGCAAAGCCCCAGUGCGUGGUUGUAUAUCCUAGUUGUAAGUUCUUCUAUGUGAGCUGCCAUCACAGUGUGGCAACUGACAGAUAGGUGGUGUGGUUCCAUGACUGGGGAGUGAACUGGGCUGCCAAAGCAGUGAGCGCGCCGAACCUUAACCACUAGACCAUUGGGGGUGGCUCUCUUCUUAAGUUUUUAUCAGUGAUCAUAUAUUAGUCUUAUAAUCAGAAAAAAGUGAACACAUUUAUUUUUUUACCUAGAAUGGUCCCCUUCCCCAAAUCUCUAUUGGUGAUUGUCCUUGGGCAUCUUUUGCUGCAUCUGAUCUCUUUGAAGGUCUUUGAGGCAGGUCUUUGAAGGAGUUAUUGGAAUAAAUACACUUUAGGUGCUCCAUCCGUAUCAGCUUUGGCACUUACCUUUUAAAAAAAAAUGGUGGUAAAAUACGCAUAACAUAAAAUUUACCAUUUAACCAUUUUUAUUGUAUAGUUCAGUGGCAUUACGUAUAUUCACAUUGUUGUGCAACCAUCCUCACCAUUCUUCUCCAGAACUUUUGUAUUUGCAAAACUGAAACUCUAUACCCAUUAAACAAUAACUUCCCAUUCCUUCUUCUCCUAAGUCCCUGGAACCAUCAUUCUAUUUUUUGUCUCUGAAAUUGACUGCUCUAGGUUCCUCAUAUUAGUGGAAUCUUAUAGUAUUUGUCCUUUGGUGCAUGGCUUAUUUCUCUUGGCAUAAUGUCCUCAGUGUUCAUCCAUGUUGUAGCGUGUGUCAGAAUUUCCUUACUUUUUAAGGCUGCAUAAUAUUCCAUUCUGUGUAUAUACCAUAUUUUGUUUAUCCAUUCAUCCAUCGGUGGAUACUUGGGUUGCUUCUACUUUUCGGCUAUUGUGGAUAUUGCUCCCAUGAACAUAAAUGUGCAGAUAUCUCUGUCUUUGGCACCCACCAGCUCUUUUGCCCAAUUUCCAGCUGCCUGCAUUUGGCCCCCUUACCUGAGUGAGGGCUUUCUCUGGGCCCCUUCUCUGCCUAUGUAUGGGCUGUGAAGUCAAUGCCUCCUGUAUCCCCCACCCCUCAAUUGAGAUAGGAAUUGGUAUACAAGUACCCCAGCUCCCUUCCUUUCAGAUGGGGUAACUGGAGACACGUGUCUACACCAUCUCCCAGAAUUCCCCAGUGGGGGUAGACCCCAGUUGCCCAUGAUGAUAACUUUCUUGAUAUCACACCCUGCACUGGCUUCUUUCCCAUCUCAUUUUUCCACUCCCCUACUGGUUCUUCCUGGGAUCACUUCCCAAAUAAACUACUUGUUCUCAAAUCCUUGACCUAGGGUAUGCCUCAGAGGGAACCCAAACUAAAGAGCAUUGAGAAGGCGCCCUGUGAGUCCCCCCCUUACACCCAGAGAUGUUCUUUUGUUGGAAAACAACACUGAGAUUUGGAUAUUUGAGGUGGAUUCUUAGUUGUGUGCAGCUGCCUUCCCACCCCAUCCAGUUAGAUGUUCCAGAAGAAAAUUGAAUCUGUUCACAUCAGCAUUUGACCCUUAUUGUUGUAACGUCUUAAAUGUAAAAUACAUUACUUUCAAAGCCCUUUUUUUGUGUCUUUACUAUCUCAGUGAUAUAAUCUCCAGUUGCCAUACAUGGAGCUGGAUCCCAAAGAAAGAAGAAAACAGUUCUACAAGCACAUCACAGCCUUCUUGUGCUUAGGAGCACUAUACAGCACUUGAGCACAUUGCUUGGGGGCCCUUUCAGACAGCAAAAUUGCCAACAAAAAGCACAAAAUUGUGAAAAACAUGGCACUAAACAGACCAUGAAAAGGACACUUGUUUAGGAUGUGAGAGCUGAAACAAGAAGGCAGAGCAGAGCCCUGUUUGACCUCAGCUGGGAUCGUGUGCAUCAGUGGCUCAGCUUUUUUGCAUCUCUGCAUGUCUGCCAAAGUGUUGCUACCAUCGAUUUUGCAGUUACAAAUAAAUUUUGGUAAGUAGGUGAAUUUGCAGACAGUCAGGAUCGACUGUAUAUGCCAAUAUUUCUCUCUGGACCUGAGGUCUAGGUUGAUACCACCACUCUGUGUCUGACCUUCAUUUAGUUGUUUCUCUAUUCUGGGCCUCUGUUUUCUCAUUCAUAAAACAAGCAUGUUGGGGUAGAUCGGUGGCAAUAGUUUCUUUUUUUAUGUAAGAAGUAACUUUUAUUCAUGUAAAAGCCCAGGGUAUAAAGCAGUAGUCAGCUCCCUGCAUCUCUUGUCCUCCACCAAUUUUACCAAAAACGUAUGGAAAACCACUGGGCUAGAUCUCCGAGGCCAUUUUCCUCUGUCCCAUUAGGUUAUAAUUUAUUCAUUUGAGAAAUAUUUAUUGAGCCUGGAACAAUACUAGAUGCUGUAGUUGCACCAAACUCACUGAAAAAAAAAAUUGAUCAGAACUAUUUGGAAAUGGCCUACACGUACUUUUUAUUUGUAAUUCUUAUUAAAAAGGUUUUCUGCUAGUUCCAGUCUUCUCACCUCUCUCUUCAUCUUGAGUGGCCUCAAUGAAUCUUUCAGACUCACUGUUGUCUCACACACAUCAGAUCCAUUUAGGACCUCAUCCCAGGUUUCGCUCAUCCUGGUUUGGGCAUCCUUCAUCUAUGAGAUUGGAGCCGGAAACGACCUUCUCAUUGGUCAUGUCCGAAGGGAAGUCGGUUGGAAAGCAAUGCACCCACCCACAAGAUACCCACUCAAAAGGACACCCAGUAUUUUCCUGGAUAUCCCUGUCACUUUGGGGGUUGUGUUUACUGCUCUACUAGAAGGUUGUCAUAAUGGAGAUGCCUUUCCCCUCUAGAGAAUGCAUUUUCAUAAUCCAUAUGUGCAAAAAUAGUAAAGUAAUAAGCAGUAUGCAUUAAAACAGUCUUGAAGUGAGCUUCUAGUUUAAAGCGAAUUGUAAUUCUUCCAUAUGGUAAUUGAUGUGUGAUUUUUCUUAGUCUUCAGUGCAUGAAGGCUAAAAACUACAGUUUGUUAAGAUUGUGCCUAGUUCUUCAAAGGUGAUUCAUUCCUCUAAGAAGGAAAUUGGGAAAAAGGAGUUGACAGUAGAUGUGGAUCGGUUUGUUUUAAUCCAGUGAGUGUAUUUUAAUCAUGAAGCCUUCAAAUUUAUCUAAAGAAUAGUACUAAAUCUUUAGUGAGGGAAUCUUUCAAAAUUGAUAUUUCUAUCUUUUAGGGAUAUAUAGGAUUUUUCUCUUUUUCAUUAGGAAAUGAUAGAAUUGAAUUAUUUCUAUUUCUGUACUAAGAGCUGGCCUGAGGGAGGUACAAAGUGUGUGGUAGCUUCAGUUUUAAUUUAGUAUAGAUUGUUUUAUUUCUACAAUCACUGGUUUUUAAUAAAUCUGUUGAUGCUUAUUUCAAAAGGUCUGGCUCAAAAGGACAUAGUCUAUAGGAAACUCUGUUCCUACUGUGGUAGAUUGCUGCUUUGGUGGCCUCAGUGAACUCUGCCUCCCAUCACUCAUGCCCUUGUAUAUUCUCCUCCUCAGUGACUCUAGACUUGGCCACAAAACUUGCUUUGGUGAGUGGGACAUUAGCAAACAUGAUGCUGGCAGCGACUUGCUAAGCCCUUGCGCAUUAUGGCUUGUCCUCUUGGAAUGCUCCUUCAUGGAAGCCAACCUUGAUGCCAUAUAAAAACUCAGGCCAGACUAUUAAAUGACCACGUGGAGAGAGAUCCUGAAUGCACGAAUGUUUGAAGAAGGCCAGUGAAAAAGGGGCUGAAGCUGCAUGUGUUUUAGCAAUGCAUGGCCCACCCUCAGUGAGUUUUCUUUGCCAGCGAGUGACUCAUUCCUGCAAAGGCACUGGGGAUUCCCGUUCUCCCUCCUGCACACAAUUUUAAUGUCCCUGUGCUUCCCCAUGGUUCUUCCUGAGGCUCCUUUGCCCCUUAAGCCCCAUAGCAGGCAUCAUAUCAAAUUCCAAGUGGGCUUGAGGGAGUAGAGAGGCAGCCUCAGGCACUUGAGCAGUGGGGAGAUGAAGCUUUCUACCCAAGAUGUCCAUCUGUAAGGACCAGGGCAAGGAGGGUUUUAGAGAAGUGAAGGGCUGGUUCAAGGCACUGUCUUUUUCCUCAAGCCACGUUAACAUUAACUUAGCAUAAUAUAGACCAGUUGUUCUCAAACUUGUCUGCAUAUCAGUGUCACCCAGGCAGCUUCAAAAAUACCAUUGUUGGUUUUCCAACACCCAGAGAUGUUGAUAUAAUUGGUUUUUGGUAUAUCCUGGGUGUCAGAAUUUCUAAAAGUUUCUUAGGUAAUUCUGUUAUGCACCCAACAUUGAGAACCACUGAUAGAGACAAUUAGGUAGGUUAUAGCUAUUCAUGUUAACAUUUCCAAAGUAAUUUAAUAUUUCCUUCUUGGUAAUUUAAUGUUUCUUAACAAUUUUAGUAUAAAUAGUAAAUUAGUAUUUAUAACUUCAAAUUUAUAAUAGCUAUAUUUUAAUAUCUAACUUUUCAGUAAAUGACAUUAUAAACCUCAUUUUCUUUUUUCUUCCUCUCUCUUGGCCUUGAAACUCACAUGAAAUAUCAUAGAGAAGCAGCUGACCGUUCUUCAUGUUGGAGGAAAUUGAAAGGAAACCAGUUUUUAGAUAGUAUACCCACAAAGAUACAAAAUUAGAACUUUCCUCUUGGUUCCUGUCCUGCCUCUCCUAUUUCCAAUACUCACAUACUUUGAAUUGUUUGUGCCUAAGAGAAAAAGUAGCGGGAGCCCCCAUGGGCCAAAUAGUCCUUUCAAGAGGCUCAUUGUUACUUUUAGGCUUUUCAUGUUAUUACAGAUGGUUCAUUUGUUAUGAAUAGGCUAGUCAAGAAAGAGAAGUGAAGGACUUUUGAAUGCCUUCUUAUCAUCUUCCCCCUUCCAUGGCCUCCUCUGUUCCCUCCCACAAGCUUUUUGUUUGCUUGUUAUAUGUUUCCAAAUAUUACUGAGACAAGGUCUUGAUCACCUAUGAGAACAGACUUGCUCAUGACUGGUGGUUGGAAUGCUUUUUGCCAUUAUUUUAAAUCUGAGAGCCAGAAACAUGGGCCUUAUUCAUUCUAUGACACUGUGCCUCCAGCAGUGAAUUUUUUCUUUUUUUUCUUUUACAAAUCAGUUUAUAGAAGUUCGGGAUCCAGUGGAUUCUGCCACUGGGUAGGUAAGCAGUGCUGUAGGAUGGCUGCUCUUGGCAGAGGCAUUAGCUUUCAAGAGAGGAAUAUAAAUCAUUUUGAGCUGCAGAAUUUUAGGUCACUAUAUUCUGUUUCAUUUCAAGAGGGCAUGUUAGAAUCGGAAGAGAUUAUCAAGAUGAUAUAGAUAGUGCAACCCUCCCACUAUUUUUUUUUUUCGAUUUAGUAAAAUUAAGGCUCAGGGUCAUUCUGUAAUUCAUCAGUUGAUCGUUGUUUAUGGACUGCUCCAGAUCCACCUCUCUUGGAGGUGCUGCUGAAUGUGGGGAAUGAGGAAGCGAAAUGAUUGGCCCAAGAGGACAAGUGAAGUUAUGGCGGAACCAGAACUACAAAGCAGAUCUCUAUUUCUUUCCUGAGGUAUUACUUUAUAAAAAAUUUGCAGUCUUGAUUUUUUAUAGCUAUAUCCUAUAAUGGAUUAAGAGGGUGGUCAAUAGAUGUUCAUAUAAAAUUUAUGAGUUUUAAAAUAAUUGAUCAUAUGUAUGGUAUCAAAUCUAGGAAAUUUGAUUUAAAAUAAUAUAACGAUUUGGUUGGUAGGUUUGAUUCUUAAUUUCUAAAAGUUAUUUUCUUUAUGGUGAUACAAAAGUGCCUUUUGCUUUUUCUGAAUUACCUAAGUUUAAGAAAAUAGUCCAAAGAAUGGAAUUUGGGGUCAGUCCAAGUACUGGGCCUUAUGCUUUUUGUCUCUUUUACAGCUGAAAAUUUUUAGCAAACUUUAAAGCUGGGCAAGAAACUUAGAGAUGCCCUUGUCUAAGUUCAUUUGACAGAUGAGGAAAUUGAGGCCCGGGAAGGUUGUUAUUUGCUGAGGUUCACAGAGCUAGUUCAAAGCCAAGUCAGAGACUUAGAAGUCAAUUUUUUUGACUCACAUUCUGUACAUUCUUACUUUGGAGCAGAAUAAAAACUGUAGGCAGGGUGUGCACCACACAUGCGCACGGGCACACACUCUCACACAUUGUGUAUGACAAGUCUGUUUUCAGAAGUGGGGGUUAUUUCUCAUGCAUUGUCUUAGGUUGGCUUUUCCACAGAGCCGGCCUGAGACAAGGAUUGGAGAGCAAAUGGCUAACUUGGGAGGUGGUCACAGGAAGCAUCAGUGGUGGCGAGGGGGGUGAGAUAAGGAAGGAAAUGCAGCGAGUAUCGGGUGUGCUGACAAGCUGAUUCCAUCGGGGGGAACUAACUGGGCCUCCCUUCUGCUGGAGCACUGUCUUUGGGAGACUGUGUAGAAUAUGCUUCAGAGUAGGCCCCUGGAGGGGGGAGGAACUGGACUGUUUAUUUACCAACUCUUGUGUCACUGUUUGAGGGCUUUGCCUGGAGGCCUUACUCCUAGGCACUUGCUGGAGAGCCUACAGUUAGAGAAUCUCAGUUCCUAGAGUAAGGCCUGUUCAGUAUGCUUGGGGACUGAGUGCAGAGGGCAUGUGGAUGGUACCUCCUGCAUGCUCAGAAAGACAUGGAAAUGGAUGUAAGUGGAGCCUUCCUGCACACAGUGCCACUCUGUGUCUUGGCUCUUUCUUAUUAUUUCCAUCUGUGUGCCCAGUGCUAUAGUAUGGGAAGGAUGGGGCUGAGACAUCGGUGCUGACUGUGAUACCAUCGGUGUUGGAUAUUGUCUGUUACCCCCUCCACAUCUACUCUCCACUUUCUCUAGUCUGCUCUUGUGCCACAGGUUGGGCGUUAAAUGCUGCAUUGGUGGGCUUCCUUGCCCUCUGGCUUCAGGUUGGAUUCAGGCAGUGGGAGCUGUAGCAGGAGAUUGGAGGGGGAGGACCAUGAGGGCAGCCUAUUCAUCCCCCCAGGUCUCUUCUUGCCGCCAGGCUGCUGGUUGUCCCUGUUGCCCUCCUGGAUGCCAGAGUCUGUCAAGUGGCCCACUUCUGUAACUAUAGUACCUUUUCUGGGUUCCUCUAGCUCUAUCCUCUUGUCCCUUUAGGCCUAGGGUACUUCGGAUACCCUGGUUGUCUUGCCCAAACCCUGCCUACACCUGAUAAACAAUCCCCUAUUAAACACCCUAAGUUGUCUCAUAUGAGUGUUCCAUCCAUUUCCUGCUGGAACCCUAACUGAGACACUAUUUUUGAGGAAUCUGGAUGACAGAAUCAGAUGAUAUGAGGCAGCUAGAAAUGUUAUAAAGAUAUAAGAUAAUGAAGUGUCCCAAGGACACUCAGCAUGUAGGAUGCCUUAAUAAAAGAAGGGGUCUGCUUAUUAAAGAGACAUUUUUGGAGGGGUGCCUGAGGUUGUGAUUGAUAAUCUUGUUUUUUUUGGGUCUACUCCAUGGGUAGCUCUGUUUGAAUAGUGAAUUGAAAAUCAAAAGCUCUACCUUAUUAUGACCAUGUAUAGCGUUAGUUAUGAUGUAUUUAACUCUGUGAGGUGGAAUAAUAUGUGAUUCACAGAAGCAGCAGAGUGAAAUGGAUCUAUCUAUCUGGAAAUUUCAGAGAUUUCUCUCAUGUAGUCUAAUUUAAGAUAAGUAAGUCUUUUCCUUUUAAUUCCUUAUAUUUCUCAUCCCUCUAAAGGGUUAUAAUCCAUUUUUUUGAGAGUUUUUAAAAAAGCUUGUGUGAAAGGCAUUUCAGGCUGCUUAGAAUAAGACACUAUAGCAACAGAAAGCACGCAUUCUGCACAUAUUUACAGAGGGCCCCUUGUGAGUCAGGCACUUUGCUAAUAAGCUCCAUGGAGUCGAUAAAGAAUAGUAUUUGAUCACUGCUUUCAAGGAAAUCACAAUGGAGGUGGGAAAAUAGAAGUUCAAACAAAUAAUUAUGCUAAAUAUUUUAAGUGUUAUAGGUCUAUACACAAUAUUAUGUGAAUCUAAAUGAGGGUGUAGUUAAGUCUGUUAAGAAAAGGCAGAGAGGUCAGUGAGUGUCAGAUAAUGCUUCAUAGAACAAGUGACAUUGAGUUGGGUCUUGAAGGGCGAGCUUAGUGAGAUUACCAGAGAGAGAAGAGUGGGAAUGGCAUGAAAGAAGGUGUGGAAUUUCCUGGUGGGUUGGAGCAUCAGUGAGUCUAAUUAUUUGGCCAAAAUACUGGUGGCCCUUGGAGGAAUGCCUGGACUUGAGGCCAAGGGAUAGAAGAUGAAUCUAAUCCUUAAUACUCAUCACUUAAAAUAAUACAUACAGUACACACACUAUAAAAAUAUUAGGAAUGAAGACAAAACAAAACAAUGUCUUUAAGAAUCUUUAGACAUUUAACAUAUUGUUAGACCUCAUGGUGCACAUAUUCUAAAUACUGAGCAAUGCAUGUUUUAAAUUCACGAGUGUCUCAAAAUAGGGAGAUAGACCCACUGAUUUUGUCUAUCCAUACAUGCCUUUGCUCAGACUUGUGUGCACUUACACCAAAUUUAUCACUAUGGAAUUGCUUCAUUUCACUUUAGAAUUACCUAAAAUAUGAUGGGUUGUUUGGAAAUAUGCUGGGUUGCCUUUUUAAUUACUAAUGAUUAUGUUAGCUUCCAUAGUUCACAAUCACCUGUUUAGUGGAACAUGUUUGACACUCCUAGCAUAAGAGAUAUUUGAAUCUUAAACUGCUUCUAAUUACUCUAGUCCCUAAAACUUUAGAGAUCUGUAAUCUUGAUACCCUAAGGCAGGUAAUUGGUGAAGACUGUCUUAUCAAUACCACAGUUGUAGACACAGUGAAUUUCUGAGUGCUGGUUGCUAAGCUGGACACUGAUAAACGAGAAUUCCUUUGCAGAGGCAGGAGCAAAAUGGUGACUGUAAUAUAUGGGUAUUAUAGUCAAAGCCUUUGUGAACAGAAAGCCCUUAAGCUGGUCAUACUUAAGGCCAAUUUAUUGUCAAGAAACUGAAGUUCAUGAAUUACAGAGGCAGGAACAACGUCCAGUCAAGUGUCAUGGAACGAGAGCGGGAAAGUCCAGAAUUAAGCUUGAACUCCUUACCAUGCAGCGGCGGCGUCUCUGCCUUUCUUUGGUUAUCUGCUUUAUUCUUUCCUAAUCUUAUUUGCUACCUUGUUCUAUUUCUGUUUUAGUUAUCUAUUGCUUUGUAACAAACUACCCCAAAACUUAUUGGCUUAAAACAACCACCACCAUUUAAUAUCCCUCAGGAGUCUGUGAGCUGAUUGGGCUCAGCUGGGCAGUUCUUCUGCUCCACAUGGUGUUGGCAGGAGCUGCAGUUAUCCAGGGGUUCAAAUAAGCUGGAAUACUCAAGAUGACUCUCUCACAUGGCAGGCAGUUGAUGCUCGCUGCAGGAUGGGAGUUCAGCUAGGAUGCCAACUAGAUCACCUCAGUUCUCUUCUAUGUAGCCCCUGUCCACGUGGCUUGGGCUUCUCACAGCUUGGGGGCUGGGUUUUAAGAGGGGGCAUUAUAAAUGUGCAAAAACGGAAGUUGCCAGUGCCCUUAAGGCCAGGACUCAGAAAUCCUGGGUGACCACUCUUACUGAAUUCUGUUGGUCAAAGCGGUCACAGGGCCAGCUUCCUGGAGAAGGGAAAUAGACUUGACCUUUCAAUGGGAAGAGUGACAAACAAUUAACUAAAUUUUUUUUUGCACAUGGCUCAACAUGACCAACAUGUCCCUCAGCCCCCACUAUUCAUGGAAAGUUUUUAGUUCAGUGUUCAUCACCAGUUGGCUGUAGCCUCUGUGUCUUAAGAGCUCCCAAGUUUACAUGCUCCCAGGAGACACUCAUAUUGGUUGCUAGCUGUCCAAUCGUCUGUAGUUGGGAGGGCCAAGUCUUGUGCCACUAAGGAUCUUCUUUGAGGGGCUGAGGUGGGAUGGGUUAUCUCAAAGGAACUGUGGUCAGAGUAGGCAAUGGCAGACGAGUAGAGAACAUUAGUACACAGAGGAUUUGAAGGAACUCUCAGGGCCUGCCUCUUCCUUUGAGGCUAGAGGUUUCUUUCUUUUCCAUGUUCUACAAAGCUCUGCUUGACCUGCCUUCUACCUUCUAACUUCUUUUUUAAAAAAUUUUUAUUUAUUUAUUUAUUUGUUUUUUUGAGGAAGAUUAGCCCUGAGCUAACUGCUGCCAAUCCUCCUCUUUUUGCUGAGGAAGGCUGGCCCUGAGCUAACAUCCAUGCCCAUCUUCCUCUACUUUAUACAUGGGACACAUGCCGCAGCAUGGUGUGCCAAGCAGUGCCGUGUCCACACCGGGGAUCCGAACCAGCGAACCCCGGGCCACCCAAGCAGAACGUGCGCACUUAACUGCUGCGCCAGUAGGCUUGCCCUCUAACUACUUCUUGAGCCAUGCUCUCCCUGCUUAGUUUUUUAUUUUAGUUAUUCCAGUGUACCACUGUCCUUCCUGCCCCUGUGUUCUUCUAUGUCCCUGUUAAAUGACAUAUGGGGAGAGAGAGGCUGUUUUCUCUCUCCCCAUAUGUCAUUUAACUUCUAACUUACUCUUCAGAUGUCAGCUCAAGUAUCACUUCCUCAGGGGAGCAUGGAACCCUCUGGAUUAAGUCUCAUCCCCUGUUCCAUCUCCAUUUCCUUCAUUGCACUAAUCAUAGUUUGUAAUUUUAUACCUGUGUGGUGACUUGAUCACUAUCUGUAGGCUCUCGAAGGCCAAGGAACCUAUCUGCCUUCCUCAGGGUGUCAGUGGCUGUGCAUGGCUCAUGUUAAGGUACUGGCAAAUAUUUGUCAUUUGCAUGAAUUAAACAUUGGAGGUAGUUGCCUUGAAGAAGUAAGGAUUAAGUGGAGAGAAUCUUUGUCUUGAGAGAAGUGAAGAGUAGCCUGUUUUGGGGACUACAAGGACCUAGUUUCUCAGGGAGCCCCUCUGCAAUGGUGUUUUGUGAGUCAGUGAACUCCUGUCAUUUAGAACAUACUGGUGGAGGCUGUGUGGUAGUUUCUGAGAUGUAGCCGGCAUUCCUGCCUGGGAAUAGAGCCUGAGUGCCUGAUUAAAAGCCAACUUCUUUUUCUUUUUGCUUCCACUGCCAUGUGGCCCCCGUUCUAUACUCAGAGAUCUCAGUGAUGGCCAAACUUUGUGACUGUGGGGCCAGAACUGCUCAUUCCAUUCCUGUUUACUCUCCCGUGAAGCCUGUAUCUUGUUUGACUGUUUGAAAGACUGAUUAGAUUCCAACUUGGCAUAUUAUGUCCCUUGAGCAUAAUCUCCAUAAGAUAACCCCAACCAUAACUUUUUGUCCAGUUCUUCUGUGGCACGUUAUCUAAAAGCAAAGUUGGUGGAAGAAUCAAAAUGGCAGAAGAGAAACAGAAAGGUAGAGUAAGAAUUAUCUGAGAUUGUUUUAUUCAAAGAUCCUGUAUCCUUUGAAUUCUAGGAGUUUUCAAUUUCCCACUUUCAGAGUUUGAGAUCAAGGUGGAGGGUAAUAUUGUCUCAGUUAGUUUAUUUCAUGAAAUAAUUUAAUUCAGUAAAUACAUAUUGAAUACUCCAUAUGUGUCUCAAUGGAGGGUGUAAAAACGAGUUGGUAUGUGACCUUGGAGUUUACACCUACCCAGGUAAUAUGGCAUCCAUCUGUGACAUGAGAUCCUAAUGAAAGGGUCAGAUGAACAGGGCCAUAAUAGGGCAUGAAUAGGGGCUGGAGCCGUUAGGAGUGUUCUUAUAGAGGGGGCAGAAUUUGGGCUAGUCUCCGUGGAUGAGUAGAUUUAGGCAAGGUUGCACAGGAGGGAGAGGGAGGGGGCAUUAUAAGCUAGGAAGCCCCAUGUAUGAAAGUUAAAAAGUAAGAAUGAGCAAGAAUGCCCUUUCACACUCCAGAGGCAGUGAAUGUCUGUGGGGUAGGGGUGAGAGGUUAGAUAAUGGAGGGCUAUGGAGAGACCUAUAGCCAUUGGGUGAGACCCUUGGAGGCCAGGGUGCGGGGUGCUUGCAAACAGGGGUAGUCACAUCAAAAACCUGCACUUUCAGGACGUUGUUUUGUUGACAGUUGGCAAGCUGGUUUUCAUGAGGGAGAGGUUGCAGCCAGCAAGACCACCUAGGAGACUGUAGUGGUGGGCACCAGAGGGGAGGCAAUAGAAACUGAGAGGGAGGGGAGUGUACAAAAUAGGGUUCAGAGGAAGAACUGAUAAGAGUUUCGUGUCUGAUUCACAGUGGGGAAGACGGAGAAGGAAGAAACAAAGGGAUAUUGAACCUGGGUGAAUGGGAGAUUAGUUCUAUGAUCCUCAGUACCAAGGUUGGGAAUGGAUGAUCAGCUAAGGUUGAGUGGACCAGAGGAAUGAAGUAUGUUAGAAGCAACGGCAGAUAACCGUGGGUCAGUUGCAAGAUAAAGGCUGGAGAUGUAACUCAAUGCAUCAUCAGAACCUGUUGCAUUAAAUAAACCCAAUGAAUGCAAAUUUGGAGUUUUCCUGGGCAUUUUAAGUAGGAAAAUAGAAGAAGAACCUCUGCCUUCAAAUGCUGACAUCCAGUUCAUCAGUAAAUUGUUUGUUCUACAUUCAAAACACAUCCCAAGUUUAACCAGUUUGUAUUGCCUUCAUCACUACCUUGGUCCAGUUACCGUCCCCCUUUAGCUGGAUUCUGCCGUAGCCUUCUAGCUGGUGUCCCUGCUUGUGUCCUUGCUCACCUACAGUGUGUUCUCAACACAGCAGCCCGAGUGAUCCUUUUAAUAAAAGGCAGAUUGUGUCGCUCUGCUUCUCGUCUACAGUGGCUUCCCACCUCAUUGGGAGCAUAAGCUGAAGCCUUACAGGGGCCUUCAGGGCCUGACAAGAUCCCUUCCUUUUUAUCUCCAGCUUCCUCUGCUCCUACUCUCCCUUGUUCGCUCCAUGCUCACCACCUUUGCCAGCUGCCUCUUUCCCUACGUCAGACUUUUUCCUCCAUGGCCUUUAGUAUCUUCUGAUAUCUAGAACAUUUGCUUAUUUGUGUGCUGUCAGUCUACCCCUCCAGAGUGGAAGCUCCAUGAGAGCAGGGAUCACUGUCUGUAUUGUUCACUGUGGAUCCUCGGGGCCUGGAACAUGCCUGGUACUCAGUAAUCAUUCAUUGAGUGAAUGCACAAAUUCCAUUAGAAGCUUCUUUUUUGAGUGGAGUUGGGAUUUCCUUGAGAACAGCUGUCAAUAAUUUUAAUCUUUAUAUCCAGAGAUAGCCCGAAAUAUAAAAUCCUAUCACUUCACAUUAUCUAACUGCAGAAAUUUCCAUUGCUAAAUGGAACAUUUAAAAAGUGAUGGGGGGCGGGGUAUGGAAGAACAGUUGCUUCCAUUAGCUGAGCUUCCACUUGGGGCUUCAGAGUUCACAUAGCAGUUUGGCAAUUCUUUCAUUAUUACUAUGAUUGUUAUUUAGAUGCUAUUUAAAGAUUGAGCCCCUAAACUCUCAGCUGAUGUUUUAGGAGAUUAUGCUAUACAGGGUGCAGAAAUUGCUGGGGCUGACUGUAACUAUUCAUAGCCAAUUAAGGAACAGCAUUGGCAAGAAACGCAGGGUGGAUUCAGUUGUGCUCUGUGGGAGUCCUGGUGGCGAUGCUUCAUGGUCUCUGGGAAAUUGCUGCCUGGGCUCUCUUCUGCAAAGGGAUCCUCAUUUGGUUACCUGGUGGGUGCUUUUGGUAAAUAAAGAGGAUAAACAACCUUGGGGAAUUUAACUUUGUAAGGGGGUUAAAGAGUGAAAGAGAAGAACAAACUAAAGAAAUUUUUCUGUAUUUGGGAGCAUUUACUUGAGAAGUCCCUCUGAAGUUUGCUUUUUGUUUUAUUUGGUAUCACUUUCAUCUCUUCCCAGGGGAUGCAGAUGUCUUUUGAAAGAAUGCAUGCAGAAAAACAGGCUGUAGGAGGAGAAAUGAAUUCUUGAAAGUUUAACAAGCUUCCAAGGACAGAGCUGCUCCGAGAAGCUGGGCUCUUACCACAUCUUUAAGGUUAAGAUUUGGGAGAACCAACUACGAUGUUCCCCGCUGCCACCACUGAUGUGGUUUCUUGAUGACACAACUAAAUGGCCCGUUUCUUAUUUAUAUUUUUAAGUGGGGCUUUUUUUCUUUUUUUUUUAAAGAUUUAUUUUUUUCCUUUUUCUCCCCAAAACCCCCCGGUACAUAGUUGUACUUUCUUCGCUGUGGGUCCUUCUAGUUGUGGCAUGUGGGACGCUGCCUCAGCGUGGUUUGAUGAGCAGUGCCAUGUCCGUGCCCAGGAUUCAAACCAACCAAACACUGGGCCGCCUGCAGCGGAGCGCGCGAGCUUAACCACUCGGCCACGGGGCCAGCCCCUUAAGUGGGGCUUUUUAAGGGAGUUCAGACAGGAGGGGAGUAUGGCACAAAGGAACCUGAAAAACAUCAGCAGAUCAUGUUUUUGCUUAACUUUGACUAUGCUUAACUUUAAUCCAUAGAAAAUUGUUUUGGAUUUUUCUAGCUCAUGAAAAUACUGUGUAGCCCUUGUUUUCAAAUAGAGUGUCUAUAAGGGGUCAAAAGAAAGUUCAAAUAAAAUUAAGGCUCAGAGAACAAGGCUGUACACACAUGCAGCCAAAAGAUCAUCCAUGUGACAUUCUCUAAGGCUCCUGCCUGGUGUCAGCUGGCAGGAUGUUUAAGACAAUGGCAGAGCUAUUUCCCUAGCCCUGCCUCAAAGUGCCAGAGGUGUAUUGGGAUUGGUCAGGGGUCAAAAGGCAUGUGAGAAGAAACAGAGACAAGGCUUAUUUGGUUUUAAAAUGUCUUAUCUGUGUUUGCACUUAUUUCUAUCCCUGUUAAAGAGGACAACGCAUGGAUAACCAAGAUAGGGAACUUGGUGUCCAAGGUGAAGGAGAAUGAGAAAAAAAAUUAUUUCUCUAGUGAGGUUUGUGAUAGGAAGCCGGAAAUCUGACCCAUGGAGCUGUAAUGAAAGCCCUUCCUACAUCUUCGGGUGCUACAUCAAAGAAGUCACAUUCGUUACAGAGCACAGUUCUUGGAGUGAAUCCUUCGCUUUCAACAAAUGAGUUAAAAUGUUUAUCUCCAAAAAAUACAAGAUGUAUCUUCAGCAGCUUUUCUCUGAGGAGGCAAAGAAAGACACUACUGCAUCCUACUUUUUUUUCUGAUUAUCUUUUAUAUUUUUGACAAGUGCCCUCACUUCAAAAAAUGUGGGUCUACGUUAAUUCUAAGUUCAUACUGAUCACUCUUAUUCAGCCAAUAUGAUUAUCAAGGUUGUUUUUUUUUCUUGUGUUCUUUCCUCUGCUGUUCCCUUGUGUUUGUAAUUAUCUUUCCUUGUGGUUGGACAGGGAAGAGGAUAAGGGAAAAUAUACAGCAAAAAGCAGUUAUGUUAUAUUCGGUGACCCAUCCUACUUGUUCAUUUCUCCAUCCAUCCACACAUGAACCCAUCUGGUAUUUAUUGAUCAUCUACUGUGAACCAGGCAUUAUAUUGGACUCUGGAUCUAAGAUUUAAUGAGCUAGGACCCCUUCUGUGAAGCUGUCUAGACCUAAUAAUAGGCAUUUAUAGUGGAAAAUAUGUCAAAAUCAGGUAAAUUCUAUCAUGGGAGGGUCUUGCAACCUGUUCUUGGGGGUUUCAGGAGAAGUUUCCAGGAAGAAGUACUGUCUCAACUGAUGCAUAAAGGAUGAAUUGAAGUUAGCUGGGUGAACUCUGUGUGUUCGGGCUUGAGUGUGGUUAAGAGAUGAGGAGGCGUUUCCAGCAGGAGAAACUCCAUGUUUUAGAGGUUACAUUUUAUGUGAGGGUUGUAUUCUAAGUCCUUGCAAAUUCAGAACUCCCGUAAUUCAAGGAACUUAUAUAAUGUUAUAUACCAAAUACAAAUUUUACUUCAAUUAAAAAAAAUGUUUUUUUAAAACCAAAAAAAGAAAAUAUUUCUGACAAAAGACCAAUGAUGGUGGGUAUUUCUGUUUAUCAGCUAAUAUGGUGCCACCCUGUGGCCACUCUGUAAACAGAGUUUAGAGUACCCCUUGGCCCAGCCAAAUUUGACACUAUAAUUUUUAAAGAAUUUUAAUAUUUUGGGUGGUUUUAACACUGAUUCAAAUUAAUGUGAAACCAUAUUAAUGCUUUGAUAUCAUAUUAUGUCAAAGUUGCAUAAUUCAAGUUCACAUCAAAUAGGACCAGGCCUUGGAGAGCUUCAGAGCACUAGCUCGUGGCCCAUUUGAUGGAUUGAAGGUGGUUCAGCGUGGAUCGCAGGGACACCUGAGAGUGGGAGUAGGCUAGGAAGGAGAGAGAGGGGAGGGAGAGUGGCGGGAGAGGAAAUGGAUAAGGUUUCAGGGCCCCGAUCAUCAAAGGCUUGUGAACAAUGAUAAGAAGAUGGCAAUGGGGAGCCUCUGAAGAAUGUUGAGGAGGGAAUAGCAAGGUCAGCCUUAGGCUUCUGCUAAAGUUUUAAUAGAUGAGAAAGUUGAAAUUAGACUAAGGAUGUGUAUGGGUUUCAGAUAUUUGUGGAACAUUCCUCUUUAUUUCUAAUGAGACUUGGUUAUAAACAAUAUAAGCUUUUGUGAUUUCAAAGUACUUUUAAGGUUUUUGUUUUAUUUUGUUUGUUUUUGAAGGUCCAUUGACUAUCUAGGAAGAGACAAUAAAGUACAUAGCUUAACCAGCAGGAAGGUUGGACUGAAGCUCAGCCUAGACUUGGGAUCUAAGGGUCGGGGGGAAUUUGAUUAGCAAAUUGUAUUUGGAGGUCUG